rnacentral:rRNA from 1 species
UACAGAGGGUGCAAGCGUUGUUCGGAAUCAUUGGGCGUAAAGCGCACGUAGGCGGCUUCGCAAGUCAGGUGUGAAAGCCUGGGGCUCAACCCCAGAAGUGCAUUUGAAACUGCGAGGCUUGAAUGUCGGAGAGGGCAGUGGAAUUCCGAGUGUAGAGGUGAAAUUCGUAGAUAUUCGGAGGAACACCAGUGGCGAAGGCGACUGCCUGGACGAACAUUGACGCUGAGGUGCGAAAGCGUGGGGAGCAAACAGG